AUACGUAGGGGGCGAGCGUUGUCCGGAAUGAUUGGGCGUAAAGGGCGCGUAGGCGGCCCGGUAAGUCUGGAGUGAAAGUCCUGUGUUUAAGAUGGGAAUUGCUUUGGAUACUGUCGGGCUUGAGUGCAGGAGAGGUAAGUGGAAUUCCCAGUGUAGCGGUGAAAUGCGUAGAGAUUGGGAGGAACACCAGUGGCGAAGGCGACUUACUGGACUGUAACUGACGCUGAGGCGCGAAAGUGUGGGGAGCAAACAGGAUUAGAUACCCUGGUAGUCCACACUGUAAACGAUGAAUGCUAGGUGUAGGGGGUAUCGACCCCUUCUGUGCCGCAGUCAACACAAUAAGCAUUCCGCCUGGGGAGUACGGCCGCAAGGUUGAAACUCAAAGGAAUCGACGGGG
rnacentral:rRNA from 1 species